AACGAACGCUGGCGGCAUGCCUAACACAUGCAAGUCGAACGGAUCCUUCGGGUUUAGUGGCGGACGGGUGCGUAACACGUGGGAACGUGCCCUUUGGUUCGGAACAACUCCGGGAAACUUGAGCUAAUACCGGAUGUGCCCUUCGGGGGAAAGAUUUAUCGCCAUUGGAGGGGCCCGCGUCUGAUUAGCUAGUUGGUAAGGUAAAGGCCUACCAAGGCGACGAUCAGUAGCUGGUCUGAGAGGAUGAUCAGCCACACUGGGACUGAGACACGGCCCAGACUCCUACGGGAGGCAGCAGUGGGGAAUAUUGGACAAUGGGCGAAAGCCUGAUGCAGCAAUGCCGCGUGAAUGAUGAAGGUCUUAGGGUUGUAAAGCUCUUUUACCGGGGAUGAUAAUGACGGUACCGGGAGAAUAAGCUCCGGCUAACUCCGUG
rnacentral:rRNA from 1 species